UCGCCACGACCACGUGAUUUUAAUCCGGAAAAUUGGCCAUAUUGAAGCUGGGGGGGGAAGAGCCAACAAAUGAAUCGAUUUUUUUAACAAAACAAAGAAAAAUAACAGUAACAAGGAUUAAGGAAUAAUCUUUAAAAAUUUGCAAUUGAAACUUGAAAAAUAACCAAAAUCUACCGUAAUUAGUUGUGAAGAAAAGAUACACAUAACUGAAAAUGGAUACAUUACCUAUCUUACAUGUGUGGAAUUGCCUAGAACGCCGAAAUACUCAGCCUUCAGGAGCG